rnacentral:rRNA from 1 species
AGAGUUUGAUCCUGGCUCAGAACGAACGCUGGCGGCGUGGAUUAGGCAUGCAAGUCGAGCGGGAUCCUUGAGGAUCAAUUCUUCGGAAGAGAUUCUCUUGGUGAGAGCGGCGAACGGGUGAGUAACGCGUGGGCAACCUGCCCUCAAGUUGGGGAUAGCCCUUCGAAAGGAGGGGUAAUACCGAAUGUGGUCGUCCCGGGGCAUCUCGGGACUAUCUAAAGGUGGGGAUCCUUCGGGACCUGCCGCUUGGGGAUGGGCUCGCGUACUAUCAGCUUGUUGGUGAGGUAACGGCUCACCAAGGCUUAGACGGUUAGCUGGUCUGAGAGGAUGGUCAGCCACACUGGGACUGAGACACUGCCCAGACUCCUACGGGAGGCUGCAGUCGAGAAUCAUUCGCAAUGCGCGCAAGCGUGACGAUGCGACGCCGCGUGGAGGAUGAAGGCCUUCGGGUUGUAAACUCCUGUCAGGAGGGAACAAUCUCCCGGCUCCGAAUAGGAGUCGGGAUUGAUAGUACCUCCAAAGGAAGCCACGGCUAACUCUGUGCCAGCAGCCGCGGUAAUACAGAGGUGGCGAGCGUUGUUCGGAUUUACUGGGCGUAAAGGGUGCGUAGGCGGCCUUUGUGUCGGGUGUGAAAUCUCACGGCUCAACUGUGAAACGGCAUCCGAAACUGCAGGGCUAGAGUACAGGAGAGGAGAGCGGAAUUCUCGGUGUAGCGGUGAAAUGCGUAGAUAUCGAGAAGAACGCCGGUGGCGAAGGCGGCUCUCUGGAAUGAUACUGACGCUGAGGCACGAAAGCUGGGGGAGCAAACAGGAUUAGAUACCCUGGUAGUCCCAGCCGUAAACGGUGUGCACUUGGUGUGGGGGGUCUUGUCCCCCUCCGCGCCGGAGCUAACGCGUUAAGUGCACCGCCUGGGGAGUACGGCCGCAAGGCUAAAACUCAAAGGAAUUGACGGGGGCCCGCACAAGCGGUGGAGCAUGUGGCUUAAUUCGAUGCAACGCGAAGAACCUUACCAGGGCUUGACAUGCCCGUCGUAUCCCCUCGAAAGGGGGGAGUCAGUUCGGCUGGACGGGACACAGGUGCUGCAUGGCUGUCGUCAGCUCGUGGCGUGAGGUGUUGGGUUAAGUCCCGCAACGAGCGCAACCCCUAUGGUUAGUUGCCAGCGGCGGCGAAAGCCGGCCGGGCACUCUAAUCAGACUGCCUGUGAUAAGCAGGAGGAAGGUGGGGAUGACGUCAAGUCAGUAUGGUCCUUAUGCCCUGGGCUGCACACGUGCUACAAUGGGGGGUACAAAGGGAUGCAAGACCGCGAGGUGGAGCAAAUCCCCAAAGCCGUCCACAGUUCGGAUCGGAGUCUGCAACUCGACUCCGUGAGGCCGGAAUCGCUAGUAAAGGCGUAUCAGCUACGACGCCUUGAAUACGUUCCCGGGCCUUGUACACACCGCCCGUCACAUCAUGGGAGUCGACUGCACCCGAAGUCGCUGAGCUAACCUUCUUUUAGAGGGACGCAGGUGCCGAAGGUGUGGUUGAUGACUGGGAUGAAGUCGAAACAAGGUA